rnacentral:lncRNA from 1 species
AAUUUUAUAACUUGAAUACAUAUUUAAUAAAAAAACACUUUGAUUUCAAUAUUUAAGUUUUUUAAAAUAUUAUCUUCAAUUUUUGUAAUUAUAAAGAAUGCCUCGCAAAGUUUUUUUUUUUAAUAGAAAAAGGUUAUAAACUCUUGAAAAUUUUUCAUGUUUAAAUAAGCAAUUACAAUGCUUUGAAUUCACAGGGCUUCCCAUGUCUCUCUCAUCAUUUGCCUCCCACAUACAGACCUCCGUCUUCCACUCUCUCUAAAGCACAGCAAUGGAAGGGCACGACACAAUCGCUUAUUUUCAAUAAAUAAAUCUCUCCUUCCAAGUCUUCAAGUGCAAAUUUAAGCACGACCCGUUAUCAGUCGAAUGAUCGGAAUUUCCCCCAAACUUCCUCGUAUUUAUCAAACAGAAGCGCAGGCGCUAAUUCAGAAGACAAAUUUAGAUCUACAAGGUAGAACACACCCAUUAACAAUUAGAAAAAAAGUUAUCCAGAUCUAGCAGGGAAAAGAAAUAAAAUUAAAGAUAAAUCCCAUAUUGACCCAGAAAAGAAAACAAAAAAGAAUCAGGGAGGUAAGCGACGAGGCUCAGAUCAGAAGUGUUUCUCAACCAGACAAGAAAAGAAAACCCCUUCUUGGCUGCAACAAUUAAUGAGCUGCAAAAUGACAGGAAUAUCCCUCAGAUUUCACAGCAACCAUUCAGAAUCACCAUGCCAACGGAAGGGUGUUCCUCUUCCUGCCUGAUUUUUGCACGGCGAAGAUAUCAUCACCGCCCCUUUGCAUACAGUUUCAGAGAGAGAGAGUGAGAGACAGAGAGAGAGAUGUGAAUAUAUAUAUAUACAUGUAUGUGUGAAGGGCUGUUGAUUAUGUAUAGAAGUAAUCAUCGGCUACGCUAAACAACCAAAGAGAGGGGGCAACCGCCCUCUGAAACCUUCCUUCUCUCUUUGAGAGCACAGCCUCGUACUUUCAAACCAAAGCUACCCAGUACCAAAGAAACACUCCCUGAUAAGGAGAGCUGAAAACGUUUGCUUUGCUAGUCCAUUUAUGUUGUCGUUGUUUAGGCUUUCUUCCAUUUUUACCCUCCUGUAUUCCUUACCUUGUAACUUCAUUAAAAGGCCCGGACGAAUUGAAACAACAUACGGGCUUAAACCCAGUUGCUAGUAUCGAUGGUUAUCAGAAUUGAAAUAAUGAUAUUUUUUAAAGUGUAUUUUAUUUAAAAAUAUAUUAAAAUAAUAUAUAUUUUUUUAUUUUUAAAAAUUAUUUUUUAUAUUAGUAUAUAAAAUAACUUGAAAAUACAAAAAAAAUUAAUCUGAAAUAAAUAAAUAAAUAAAAAUUUUAAUUUUUUCAAUAACAUUUUUGAAAUGUAAAAGUAAACAGCUUCUAAGAUAAACAUGGUAAAAUAUUAUAACAGUUUAUAAUAACUUUUUUUUAUGUCCUCUAUUUUUAUUUUUAUUUUUUUCAAAAAUAGCAUUAUGUGCCUAAUUUAAAUAACAAAGAGCAGGGGAGUAAAACAGUGAGAAAAAACAUAGCAAAUCUAAAAUUCAUGUAAAAAGUUUUUUUUGUCCUCGUACUUUUCUCUACUGUCCUUGGCUUUUUUUAAUUUCUGCCCAAAUUUUAUUUUUUUUAAUUUCAAUAUUUGAUUUAGAGAAAGAAAGAAAAGGUUGCUUAAAAACAAGUAGGAAAGAGAAAGUUGUAGGUUCGCUUUUUGUAUUCACAAGUUUUAUCUAGUAAGAAAAGUUUGGUGAUAAUGGUUUUUUUUAGACAUAAAAAAAAUAUCAAGUUCAAUUGAGGUUUUUUUUUUUUGGUUGAAACUUUUUUGAUUGAUUUUUAGAUUUUUUAGGGUUAUUAGGUAAUUUAGAUAUUAUUUUUAUGGUGUUUUUGCAAUUAUUUUAGGUGAAUCUGGCUUUAAAAUUGAAUCUUUAACCCAUAAGACAUCUUCCUUGAUUUUCUAGUCAUUUAUGUGAUGUGCAUAUUAUAAACAGCAAACGACGCAUCAUUUUUAUUUAAAAAAAAAAUUAUUAAAAUAAAUAAAUUAUAUUUGGCAUUUUGUUUUAUUUUUUAAUAAAAUUCUAAAGUUUUUUUUUUUUUAUGUUUUUCUUGAAGAAUAAUUUUUAUUUUGGUGAUUAAAGAGACAUUUUUAUAUAAAACAAAUAUAACAUAGAGAAAAUAUGGAUAUAUAAGCACAAAGAAGUUUAUUUUAAAAAAUUUAUUUCAUUAGAUAUUUGAAUUGCUAAUCUAUAUUUAUUUUUAGUUUUUUUUAAAAAAAACAGUAACAAAAAAAUAAAUGUUCUAUCAAAUUAAUAAUUAAACACAAGCGAGUUGUGCGUGUAUAUAUAAUAUAUAUAUAUAUAUAUAUUAUAAUUUUAAUUUUUAAUAUUGAGUUUUUAUUAAAUUUUUUUAAUUAACUUUUUAUUUUUUAAUAAUAUAGCUAAUUUUAAAAAAAAUAUUACGAGACCUUAUCGAAUCUAUAAAAUAAAUUACAUGUAUGAUAGGUUAACUUGGAUUAUCUCAAAUCAAUUUAAUAUGUUAUCAUUUAAAUAUAUUUUUUAAAGGCUCAUCUUGAAUUCUUUUUAAUAAAUUUUUUUUUUGAUCCAAUCAAUGAGCUAACGUAGAGCUAGAUUAAGCUUGUUUGUAAGUAUGAUUAUGAUUAUUUUUUAAAAUAUUUUUAUGAUGAAAUGUAUUAAAAUAAUAUAUUUUUUUAUUUUUUUAAAAUUAUUUAUAAAAUCAUUGUUUUAAAACGAUAUGAAACACAAUUUUUUUUUUAAUUAUAUAUAUAUGGAUUAUCCUUUUUUUUGUCUUUAUAAGUUUUUCUACAUGGAUUAUCCCUCUGACACGUCAUCCUAGAAUUGAUGUUUCUCAGACCACUUCGCUAGUCUAAAUUCUCGUAUAAAAACUCAGCCAUCAUCACCAAAAACUCCAAUCUUUUCUGGUAUAAAAUUCAUCAAACCCCUAAUCUAUUUUGCAUCUUGAUUAAAUCCCUAAUAUAUAAUUAGAUUAUCAAUUUGACCCUUGAGUCAGUUUCAAUUAAGAAAAUUAUCAAAGAAUCACAUUUUCCAUACAAACUUCAAGACCAUUCCUUUUGAUUCAUCUGUGAAAAGAAUUUUAGUAAAUUCAAAGAUAUCAUUUGCCAAACAUGCAAGGAUGUUUUCAAACUACUGAGACAAUCAGUUCCAAAUCUUAAUUAAAAGCAAAGAAUCCUUAAUUAGUGAGGCUCAGAUUCGUCAUUUGUUAGUUAUUAAAAGGAACACAUAGCAACAACCAUCCAUGGCUGCAAUAAAAAAGCUCACUGUGAGAAACGAGCACAACAGUCAUUUCAUCACAGAAGCCCUGAAUCGCCCCGCCAUGUGAGUGCAAGGUUCCUUAAAAUAACUGAUUCUUUUCACUUGAAAAUAUCAUCACAGCCCCAGAGAAGAGAAGAAGAAGAAGAAGAAGAGAAGCAGGAAUCGAACAAUUGAGAUCGAUGAUGACGAUGACGAAGAUUACAGGGAUCAUGUUUAGCAGGCCAGAACCAAAAACAAACAGUGAUUUUUAGCAGUACACCGAGAGAUACAGUGCGUGCACAGACAGGGCUGUUGAUAUUUUACAAGAUGAUGAAGUCAUUGGCUUCGCAGACAUUCAGAGAGGGAGGCAACAACCCUGCCAAAAAACCAUUCCAGCCUCUCUGAGAGCAAAGCCUCAUUCUUCUACCCAUCUGUAAUUCCUGUCAACUAUGAUGAUGGAGGAUUUGCCUUUUCGCCUUCUUUCCACGAUUGCCCUUCGGGUGACAAGAGGCUUGAUGAGUAUAGGAAGAGGGGGUUGAGGGUGUUAUGGUCAUUGUCAGUUCGGGAUGUGUUUUGGAAAGUACGAAGGUAAAAUAAAUAUUAACCAUGGUUAGAUGAGCUCUGUUGAGUCAUCCACGUGCACUCCAUGCAUGAUCUUGAAGCACUAGGAGUGUUCAGGAGAGAGUUUUAAUUAAUUUAUUUUAUUUUAAAUUGAUUUUUAAAAUUAUUUUAAUGUAAAAAUAUUAAAAAUAAAUUUUAAAAAAUUAAAAAAUAUUAUUUUAAUAUUUUUCUAAACAAAAAACAUUUUAAAACACAUUUGUAACCACACUUUCAAAUAUCCUAAUAAUUAUAAAUAUAACUAUAAGAUUUGGAUUAUCCUACACUGCCAAUCAAAUAAAUUUUUUUAAUAUUAAUAAAAAUUUAGGUAUUGCCACCAUAUUUUUUUAGUUAACAAAUUAAAACACAUGAGAAGUAACAUGAUGUGAUUCAAUAAACUUGACGAAUAAAAAAAUAACAUGAACAACCAAUAAAAAUUUGUCUAAAAAAUAUUUCAAGAGGAUAUUUUUUUUAGAUAUUGAGUUGGAAAUAUAUUAGAUAUCCUAGGUCAACCAGUCAAAUACAUGAUCUAAAUCAUUAAAUUAUGAUAACCUGAUAGAAAAUAAAUCAAAAUAAAUUAUAAAACUCAAAUUUUAAUCAAUCCAAUAUUGAAUGAUAAAAUAAAAAAAAUCAUUUUGAAAAAAAACCAAAAAACAAAAAACUCGAGUUAAUGUGCCAAGCCUACAACCCGAGUUAUAUGACUAAAAUAACCCUGUAGAAAGUAAAUCCAAGCAAAUUGUAAUGCCUAAUUUUUAAUCAAUCACAUUAAAGAAUAAAAAAAAAAAAUAAUAACUAAAAAAAAAUAAUCUGAAUUAAUCCGAAUUAACUCGUAACCAAGAUAAUAAAAUAAAAUUUUAAUUCAAAAUUAAUUAAAUAUCAACUAAAUAUUGGAGAUGGAAUUCAACUAAAUAUUCAACUAAAACUAAUAAUUAAAUCCAUGGAUAACAAGAUAAAAAUAAGCAAACUUAAUAUUAAAAUAAACUUUUUUUAAAAAAAAUUUUUACAAGAAAAACAAAUCACUGUUUAUACGAAUAAAUUCUUAUUAGUUUAUGUUAAUAAUUAAAAUUUAGUGUGAUGAGUUAACUCGGAAGAUUGAUUACCCAAAGCUGGAUUUGAGGUGGGUUUUAGAUGUUUUUAAAUGAAAAAAUAGGUUAAAAUGGUUUUUUUAUCCAUGGAGUCGCUGUCCAAUUUUUCAGCAACCUGUGAUGGAUGAAAUCUGGAUCAAGAACUGUUUUUUAAUGAAAGGGCAAAAGACAUGUCCCUUGAACGAAAAAGAAAAAGAUAAAAUCCAGGUCCAAAAGCAUGAGUUGCCCUAUGCCUCUUCUUUUUUAAAAAAUUUAUUUUCCCCUAAUUUUAUCAUUUCCAAUUGAAUCUUUAUUGAUUUUUCUUGGUGACCUUUAAUAUUUGGUCGGCUUUUACCAGUAACUUUUUUUUUUUCAUUAAAUAAUUAAAUAAAAAAUAACCUUUCAUUCAUGACACAGCUUGUGGAUUAGGCUGUUCAACACCCAUUAAUAAUUAGAAAAAAGUUGUCCAGAUCUGGCAGGAAAAAGAAAUAAAAUUAAAGAUAAAUCCCAUAUUGACCCAGAAAAUAAAACAAAAAAGAAUCAGGGAGGGAAGCGACGAGGCUCAGAUCAGAAGUGUUUCUCAACCAGACAAGAAAAGAAAACCCCUCCUUGGCUGCAACAAUGAAUGAGCUGCAAAAUGACAGGAAUAUCCCUCAGAUUGCACUGCAACCAUUCAGAAUCACCAUGCCAACGGAAGGGUGUUCCUCUUCCUGCCUGAUUUCUGCACAGCGAAGAUAUCAUCACCGCCCCUUUGCAUACAGUUUCAGAGAGAGAGUGAGACAGGUAGAGAGAGACAGAGAGAGGAAGUGUGUGUUCAUAUAUAUGUAUGAAUGUGUGUAUGAAGGGCUGUUGAUUAUGUAUAGAAGUAAUCAUCGGCUACGCUAAACAAUCAAAGAGAGGGGGCAACCGCCCUCUGAAACCGACCUUCUCUCCGAGAGCACAGCCUCAUACUUAAACUAAUGAUGAGAGUAAA